AGUGAAUAGAUACCCAGGUAGUCCUAGCCGUAAACGAUACUCGCUAGGUGUCGGCCACGGUGCGACCGUUGUCGGUGCCGUAGGGAAAGCCGUGAAGCGAGCCACCUGGGAAGUACGGCCGCAAGGCUGAAACUUAAAGGAAUUGGCGGGGGAGCACCACAACGGGUGGAGCUUGCGGUUUAAAUUGGAUUCAACGCCGGAAAUCUUACCGGGACCGACAGCAACAUGAAGGCCAGGCUGAAGACUUUGCCGGAUUAGCUGAGAGGUGGUGCAUGGCCGACGUCAGUUCGUACUGUGAAGCAUCCUGUUAAGUCAGGCAACGAGCGAGACCCACGCCCACAGUUGCCAGCGUACUCUCUGGAGUGACGGGUACACUGUGGGGACCGCCGCUGCUAAAGCGGAGGAAGGAAUGGGCAACGGUAGGUCAGUAUGCCCCGAAUAUCCCGGGCUACACGCGAGCUACAAUGGUUGGUACAAUGGGUAUCUACCCCGAAAGGGGAUGGAAAUCUCCUAAAGCCAAUCUUAGUUCGGAUUGAGGGCUGCAACUCG
rnacentral:rRNA from 1 species